rnacentral:rRNA from 1 species
GACGAACGCUGGCGGCGUGCUUAACACAUGCAAGUCGAACGGUGAAGGGACCGGUUUUUGCUGGUUCUGGAUGAGUGGCGAACGGGUGAGUAACACGUGAGUAACCUGCCCCCUUCUUCUGGAUAACCGCAUGAAAGUGUGGCUAAUACGGGAUAUUCUGCGCCUGCUGCAUGGUGGGUGUGGGAAAGAUAUUGUUUCGGUGGGGGAUGGGCUCGCGGCCUAUCAGCUUGUUGGUGGGGUGAUGGCCUACCAAGGCGGUGACGGGUAGCCGGCCUGAGAGGGUGGACGGUCACACUGGGACUGAGACACGGCCCAGAAUCCUACGGGAGGCAGCAGUGGGGAAUAUUGCACAAUGGGCGCAAGCCUGAUGCAGCGACGCCGCGUGAGGGAUGGAGGCCUUCGGGUUGUAAACCUCUUUCGCCAGUGAAGCAGGCCUGUCCCUUUUGUGGGUGGGUUGACGGGAGCUGGAUAAGAAGCGCCGGCUAACUACGU